rnacentral:rRNA from 1 species
AUUAUUGGGCGUAAAGGGCUCGCAGGCGGUUUCUUAAGUCUGAUGUGAAAGCCCCCGGCUCAACCGGGGAGGGUCAUUGGAAACUGGGAAACUUGAGUGCAGAAGAGGAGAGUGGAAUUCCACGUGUAGCGGUGAAAUGCGUAGAGAUGUGGAGGAACACCAGUGGCGAAGGCGACUCUCUGGUCUGUAACUGACGCUGAGGAGCGAAAGCGUGGGGAGCGAACAGGAUUAGAUACCCUGGUAGUCCACGCCGUAAACGAUGAGUGCUAAGUGUUAGGGGGUUUCCGCCCCUUAGUGCUGCAGCUAACGCAUUAAGCACUCCGCCUGGGGAGUACGGUCGCAAGACUGAAACUCAAAGGAAUUGACGGGGGCCCGCACAAGCGGUGGAGCAUGUGGUUUAAUUCGAAGCAACGCGAAGAACCUUACCAGGUCUUGACAUCCUCUGACAACCCUAGAGAUAGGGCUUUCCCUUCGGGGACAGAGUGACAGGUGGUGCAUGGUUGUCGUCAGCUCGUGUCGUGAGAUGUUGGGUUAAGUCCCGCAACGAGCGCAACCCUUGAUCUUAGUU